CCACACUGAUGGUCUUGUGGUUUUGUCCCUUGUCAACUAAAGAAGUUAAUACAGCAUCACCAUGUCCACUGCUGUUCACACUGUAUCAGACGCUGACAAUGAGUGCUGACAAGUGGAUAUUCCUUUUAGCCUUUUGCUUCAUGCACGCGUCUUCAAAUGGUGAGCACUUAUACGAAGAUUAUCACGAGGAUAAUCAGUGUGAAACACAGAAACUCAAGGCUUCUCUUGGCUCGUCUGUGUUCCUACCGUGCAGCUUAUCAACAAGUAGCCAAAACUGGGUGACAUGGACCCACAAUAGUGAGGCAGAGCUGGCAAAGCUCUUCUUUGAAGGGCGCGUCAAGUUCCUGGACCCCAGACAUGGCAGAGUGAAAGCUUUUCCAAACCAGGUCUCAGAGGGAAAUUUCUCCAUCCGCAUCGAUGAGCUGAACAACUCUGACCUGGGCAGCUAUCGCUGUAUACAGGGAGAUUACUGUCAAAAAGUGGAGUUGCUUGCUGACAGUACACUGAGCGAAGAGAUGAGGCUACUGAUUGUCAUCAGCGUUGCUGCUCUCAGUUUGCUGAGUGUUGGUGGAUACUACUUCUGCAAGGGACGCAUAGGUAAAGUCUUGUUAAAGCUCAGCAGCUUCCUGUGCAGCAACUUGCAGCCUUUUCCUUUCCAUGGUCACAAACCUCAUCAGCCAAACGUCAGAAAAGACAAGAAAAUGAGCAACUGUUUCCAGUGACAAACCACAUCUACUUAUCGUGAAGGUACAAUGGAUCCAACGCUGAGGCUAAUUAAGAUCAUUGUUGGUCUUGUGAUUUUGGUGCUUAGUCUUGGAUUAUACUGCUGCAAGAAAUUAACAGAAGAUGAAAGUGAUCCACCUGAGGGAGAAGAUGGAGCACCGUUACAAAGACAGCAGAUAGUGUAGCGGCUCUUCCUCCCUCUGCUCUGGAUGUGCUGUUCACACAUUUGAGGACCAUCAAGCUGGUACCAGCAUUUCCCUUUAAUCAGCAGAUGUCGACACAGCAACCAGCACUCCUCUCAAAAUGCCGCCCAAACAAUGGGAUGUAUUUUACUUCAUAUUAUCUGCAAUUUAACAAGAAAAUCUGUAAAACAACAAAACUGUUAUAAAAAUUAUGUAGCGUUUUUCUGUGCUUAAUAAACAGCAAUCAUCUGUAAAAUAAAUACAUCAUUUCUGGAUUCAGAUACUGUAAAAAUGGUGCUAUUUUACAGUCAAAUGUCAAAAAACAAAUUACCGCUUGUAAAAAUAAAGAUUUUUGAUGUGGACAUCAUGUUUGUGACAGUUUGGGCCUCUUAUUUCUCAUUAUGCAGUAAUAAAAACAUUUUUGUUUGAGAUUUUACUAGUUCCCAAAUUACAAAUUAGUCUACUGACCAAAUUAGCAGUUGUUUUCAGUUGAAGCAAUUUCAUUUAUUAUUCUUGAAACACAAUAUUACACCAGUAAUAUUGUGCGUUUUUUUUCAUCAACC
ensembl:lncRNA